rnacentral:rRNA from 1 species
UACAGAGGUCCCGAGCGUUGUUCGGAUUCACUGGGCGUAAAGGGUGCGCAGGUGGGUUGGCAAGUUUGAUGUGAAAGCCCCGGGCUUAACCCGGGAAUGGCAUUGAAUACUGCUGAUCUGGAGGAUUGGAGGGGGGACUGGAAUUCUUGGUGUAGCAGUGAAAUGCGUAGAUAUCAAGAGGAACACCAGUGGCGAAGGCGAGUCCCUGGACAAUACCUGACACUGAGGCACGAAAGCCGGGGGAGCAAACAGG